GACAGCGUGGCUUAGUGGUCGGAGCGCUGGACUACUACGACUCCCGAGACCAGGGUUCGAAUCCCAGCUCGGCUA